rnacentral:lncRNA from 1 species
AGGCAAUCGAGAAGGCUUCUGGAAUACAUUGAGAAUAACUUCUUGAGUCAGGUAUCCUCUUGGGGUGCUGGCUUCAAUACUCUUUAGUAUGUUCAUCAGUGACAUUGUCAGUGGGGUCAAGUGCACCCUCAGCAAGUCUGCUGGUGACACCAAGCUGUGGGGUGUGCUCGACACGCAUGAGGGACAGGGUGCCAUGCAGAGGAACCUAGACGGGCUUGAGCAGCAGGGCCAGGGGAAGUUCAUGAUGUUCAACAAAUCCACGUUGCACCUGGGUCAAGGCAACCUCCACUACUAACAUAAGCCAGAGCAUGAAAGGCUAGAGCUUGGUCCUGCCAAAAAGAAGCCGGGGGUACUGGUGGAUGGGAAGCUGGACAUGGGCCAGCACUGUGCCCUCAUGACCCUGAAAGCCAACCGUAUCCUGAACUGCAUCAAAAGGAGGGGGGCUAACAGGGCGAGAGAUGAUCCUGCCCCUCUGCUCUGUGUUGUUGAGGCCUCAUCUGGAGUACUUUGUCCAGAUGUGGAGUCCUCAGUACAGGAGAAACAUGGACCUGUUGGAGCGUGCCCAGAGGAGGGUCGCAAAAAUGAUCCAAGGGAUGGAACCUUUCCUACGAAAACAGACUGAGAGAGCUGGGGCUGUGCAGCCUGGAGAAGAGAAGGCUCCGAGGGCACCAACCAGCUGAGUCUGAUGUAUUGAGUAGUUCUGACAGAGACUGGGGAAUUGGAGAAAGAGAGACUCAUGAAAAUCCUUGGAAGCUUACAACAUCCUCUUCGACUCACUACUCAGGGACACUUGAUCACCCACGGUCUGGAAGAUUUUUGGGAACCAGAAACAGACUGGGCUGCUUUCAAGCUAUUCUCCGCCCAACCUAUAUCUGUGCGUGGCAUUGCCCCAACCCAGGUGCAGGUCUUUGCACUUGGCCUUGUUGAACUUCAUGAGGUUGGCAUGGAUCCACUUCUCAAGUCUGUCCAGGUCCCUCUGGAUGGCAUCCCUUCCGCCUGGUGUGUCAUCAUCUAGUCCAACUGCCUGACUACUGCAUGCUUCCACAUGGGAAAAAGAAAGAACUAUGAAUACACUGGGG